GCCACCAGCUUGACUCUGGGCUUUGGCUCUGGCUCCAGUUUGGCCUCUGCCACCGGCUUGACUUUGGGCUCUGGCUCGGGCUCCGGUUUGUGCUCCGCCACCGGCUUGACUUUGGGCUUUGGCUCGGGCUCCGGUUUGAGCUCUGCCACGGGCUUGACUUUGGGCUUUGGCUCGGGCUCCGGUUUGGGCUCCGCCACUGGCUUGACUUUGGGCUUUGGCUCGGGCUCCGGUUUGGGCUCCGCCACCGGCUUGACUUUGGGCUUUGGCUCGGUCUCCGGUUUGGGCUUGGCCACCGGUUUGACUUGAAUCUCUGGCUCAACCUCAGGCAUUAUCACUGGCUUGACGAU